UAGUGACACCUCUUCAAGAGCAACAAAAGAUAGUACGAUGACAUCAAUGAGUUCUGACAUGAUGCAGCAUGAAGUCUAUCAACCUUUUGAAUUGCAGUUUACAAAUAUUAUCUUCCCAGUAUGAGCAAAUCAUAGGACACUCUGUUUGUUCAGGAUACUUUGGCCUGAUGUACCCAUAUUGGCCAUGGCUAAGGUCCUUUAUGCCAUCAUAUACAGCCCUUGGCUGCAUAAGAUCAUCCCUGCAUCAGCCAGAAGUAGACAUCUACAUGAAAUUACAGUAAAUUCUAAAAUUCCAAGAAGUUCCAAUGGAUCCUGCAGAGUUUCAGCAUCUUCACUUUCUCUCCAUCUCAUCAUCUUCAUAGCUUGGAGACCAAAAGAAGAAUCUGCCUGAAGAGACUAAAAGCAAAUUUUAUUAUACACAAGAACAAAUUGCCUGAUCAUGAAAACUGCCUGGCUACUCUGAAUGAAGUAGCAACAAUAUGUAAAGUUGCAUUUGUUUCUGGCUUGCUGAUCUCUAUCAUAUGAACAAUUCAGAUGACUGAAAACUUCUAUUUGGAGAACAUAAUUUACUACAGUUAUUUGCUUCUCAAAAAUCACCAAUGACUUUCACCUCAUAAACAGCUUGCAAACCUGACAAGGAAACUUUGAGUAAAAGUUUAGAACUACUGCAGUGAUCAUGAGGCAGCAGGUUUACUAAAUGUCCUUUAUUGUAAGGACUGUCCCUUAUUUUUGGACUUAGAAGACUUGUCUGGCAGGUGUCCCUUAUUGCAAAGGAUGCCCUUAUUUGAAGGUUGGAAAGCUUUUCCUUUUAUUUAUACGGAACAACAUGCCAAGGCUGAACAAGACAUUAAAAAGCCUAUAUUUUGGGAUGUGAACAGAAAUAUGUGUAUCAUGUCAUCUAUGAAUGAGGAUAAUGUUUUGGUUUUAAAGAGAAAUACAUAGCUAAGUAAAUAGAAAUCAACAGUUUCAUUUGGCAUUUAGACAGACAAAUUUGUUCAUAGUUACAUGUUGAUUGUUCAUCCUGUGUGGCAUGAAGUUCAACUGUCAGGUAAUACAAUUUUAAAAACCUGGCAACACCAGCGUAAAGCGUUUUCUGUCAAGUUAUUGUUCUGCUAAACAAGAAUGACACUUUCAUAAUGUAAGAGUUCAGAGAUUUUCAGCAACUCCAAGAAAAUCCUGUUGUUAGAUUGAACGUGUAGCUCCUGAAGAAGGCCAACCAAUAAUAUAGAGCCAAAACAACUUGGGCUUUUUAUAAAACAAGAUAUGCCAAAGUCCUCACUUCUAUACACAUAAUAAAAGUGGAAAAAGUAUAUGUGUGUAUGUGACAGAGGUGUCCAUUUAACACAGACAGACUCCCGCCUCCACAAACAGCUACAGUUCCCACUGAACAGUAGACACCAAUGGCCCUUCCUCCACUGACAUGCAGGUUAUAGUGAGCGCCAUGAACAUGUAGCUCGAACCCUGCUAGUGUCCUCCACAAACACCAUUCUGCCCCCAUCCAAGUGAAGGCUUUCAUACAGAGACAAUUUCAUCCUAGAUGUUCUAUUUUUCCCCCAGAAUGGACAUCCCAGGGUUCCUUAGUUUGCAUAGCCCUGCCCACUGCCUUUACCUUAACCUUUCCUACAUUUUCCUAUGGCACACAGUUAACAGAGGAAUUGAUCAGCAACUGAACAAGAGGUUUGGGGAGAAUUCACCAUGAUUUACAGGAGUUGUACUUGACCUACAUCAAGGGAGUACUGUUAACCCAACCAACAAUAGAUCUGGACCAAAGUUGCCUCAGAUGAUGGGACUUGCAGUACUAUGCAGUAUUAUGACCCCCACCAACAAUGGACUGGGACUAAACUUGGCACAGAGAAGCCCAAUGACCAACUGAACAUACUGCAGGGGUUAGUGGACGGACCUUGAUUUCGGGAGUUAUACUUCACCUACAUCCAGAAAAACUGGGACCUCCACUGACAAUGGACUGGGACAGAUCUGGACCAAACUUGGCACACAGACCUAACAUGCCCUACUGCAAAUACUGGCAAAGUUUGGGUGUGAUUGCCCUGGGAAUCUGGGAGUUGUAGUUCACCCUUAUCCAGACAGCACUGAACCCAGCCAAU